rnacentral:tRNA from 1 species
AUCCCGGUAGUAUAGUGGUCAGUCCCCCGCCUGUCACGCGGGAGAGGGGGUUCGAUUCCCGCCGGGGAGU